GACGAACGCUGGCGGCGUGCUUAACACAUGCAAGUCGAACGCUGAAGCUCAGCUUGCUGGGUGGAUGAGUGGCGAACGGGUGAGUAACACGUGAGUAACCUGCCCUCUUCUUUGGGAUAACGCCCGGAAACGGGUGCUAAUACUGGAUAUUCACUGAUUCUCGCAUGGGGGUUGGUGGAAAGGUUUUUUCUGGUGGGGGAUGGGCUCGCGGCCUAUCAGCUUGUUGGUGGGGUGAUGGCCUACCAAGGCUUUGACGGGUAGCCGGCCUGAGAGGGUGACCGGUCACAUUGGGACUGAGAUACGGCCCAGACUCCUACGGGAGGCAGCAGUGGGGAAGAUUGCACAAUGGGCGAAAGCCGGAUGCAGCGACGCCGCGUGAGGGAUGGAGGCCUUCGGGUUGUAAACCUCUUUCGCUCAUGGUCAAGCCGCAGCUUUGGGUUGUGGUGAGGGUAGUGGGUAAAGAAGCGCCGGCUAACUACGUG
rnacentral:rRNA from 1 species